rnacentral:lncRNA from 10 species
UAGGCUCUACUGUUCCUACAGAAACCUUGUGAGAUAGUUAGUUAUCUUGCCAAAACUCGCAUCUGAUGAUGUCACUCCCUACUGAGUCUCUUCCCAGGUUCCCGAUGCUUUAGGGUCCAGAUCCCUCCUCACAUGAUAUGUGUUGCACUUUGUGGUCAGACUCCAGGCUAGUCUUGUCAUUCUGCUUAAGUUUCUCUGUGCCUAGCGGAGAGCAUCAAAGCUAAAAUGAAGUCUUCCUCUAAGACCUAGUACUGAACCUUGAGUUCUUGAAACGUCAGGCUCUCCUCUCCUGUAAAAUAGACAUUAUAAUAUUAACUGCUGCCUCAUUUUAAAAACUGUGAAGUUGUAGUGAGACAUUAAAUAGAGACAACAAACCUCAGCAUCUUGUGCCUGGUGCAUGACCACUGUCGACAAGACAGAGGGAA